rnacentral:rRNA from 1 species
GGACGAACGCUGGCGGCGUGCUUAACACAUGCAAGUCGAACGAUGAAGCYGGAGCUUGCUCUGGUGGAUUAGUGGCGAACGGGUGAGUAACACGUGAGCAACGUGCCCAAGACUCUGGAAUAACUUCGGGAAACCGGAGCUAAUACUGGAUACGAGACGUAAAGGCAUCUUUAGCGUCUGGAAAGAAUUUCGGUCUUGGAUCGGCUCACGGCCUAUCAGCUUGUUGGUGAGGUAAUGGCUCACCAAGGCGACGACGGGUAGCCGGCCUGAGAGGGUGACCGGCCACACUGGGACUGAGACACGGCCCAGACUCCUACGGGAGGCAGCAGUGGGGAAUAUUGCACAAUGGGCGCAAGCCUGAUGCAGCAACGCCGCGUGAGGGAUGACGGCCUUCGGGUUGUAAACCUCUUUUAGUAGGGAAGAAGCGAGAGUGACGGUACCUGCAGAAAAAGCACCGGCUAACUAC